rnacentral:tRNA from 1 species
AAGCCUCAUAGUAUAUACCAAAUAAUUACAGUAAACUGCAACUUUACCAAAGCUCCAUAAUGCUAAGGCU